ACAGGCUUCUCUCCAGUGGCCACAGCCCAGCUGCCUCUUCAAGGGUCCUUCUCUCCAGGACACUGUUUAGUGUACCGAUCGAAGUGGAAAAUGAAGAACAGGCCAGCCCCACA